rnacentral:misc_RNA from 1 species
GAAAAAUGUUUAGCUCUGAUAAAUAGAAUUGAAAAAGUGACUAGAAUGGACUGUUAUUAUACAAGUUUAUAACAAGAUAUAAUGUUCAAUACAUACAAAUACAAUCUGCAGUUUUCCUUGCAUCAACAAAAAUGGUUAAGCAUGUAUCAACUAUUUUACCUCUUCAUUGCCCAAAGAGGAGAAGAUGGUCAGCUUUUUCAUUGCCAACUUUAUUGACCCCUUCCUCUGAUAUUUGCUUGAGUUGUCAUUGAUCUUUUGUAGGAUUUUGCUACAAGACCCUGCGUAUGCAACUAUUGUCACUAGAAUCAUAAAGUUGCUCUAGAGUUUUUAUCACUUGUUUCAUGUUUGGCCUAAACUCUGGUUCUGUUGAUAGGCAUUGGAGUGCAAGGCCAAAAGCUUUUCGCAUAGCACCAAAAGUAUACUGACCUUCAAUGCGAGCAUCCAACACUUGGAAACCAUUACGUCUGCUGCUAAGGUAAGGCCUUGCCCACUCAACUAAAU